CCUACGGGAGGCAGCAGUGGGGAAUAUUGGGCAAUGGGCGCAAGCCUGACCCAGCAACGCCGCGUGAAGGAAGAAGGCUUUCGGGUUGUAAACUUCUUUUGUCAGGGACGAAGCAAGUGACGGUACCUGACGAAUAAGCCACGGCUAACUACGUGCCAGCAGCCGCGGUAAUACGUAGGGGGCUAGCGUUAUCCGGAAUUACUGGGCGUAAAGGGUGCGUAGGUGGUUUCUUAAGUCAGAGGUGAAAGGCUACGGCUCAACCGUAGUAAGCCUUUGAAACUGGGGAACGUGAGUGCAAGAGAGGAGAGAGGAAAUCUUAGGGGAGCGGUGAAAUGAGUAGAUAAGAGGAGGAACGGCAGGUGCGAAGGCGGCACCCUGGACUGUAACUGACACUGAGGCACGAAAGCGUGGGGAGCAAACAGGAUUAGAUACCCCAGUAGUC
rnacentral:rRNA from 1 species